UACGUAGGGUGCAAGCGUUAAUCGGAAUUACUGGGCGUAAAGCGUGCGCAGGCGGUUAUGUAAGACAGUUGUGAAAUCCCCGGGCUCAACCUGGGAAUUGCAUCUGUGACUGCAUAGCUAGAGUACGGUAGAGGGGGAUGGAAUUCCGCGUGUAGCAGUGAAAUGCGUAGAUAUGCGGAGGAACACCGGUGGCGAAGGCGGCCCACUGGGCAGUCACUGACGCUGAGGCGCGAAAGCUCGGGGAGCGAACGGG
rnacentral:rRNA from 1 species